AAGCGCAUGUGCUGUGAGCUCGAUGAGUAGGGCGGGACACGUGGUAUCCUGUCUGAAUAUGGGGGGACCAUCCUCCAAGGCUAAAUACUCCUGACUGACCGAUAGUGAACCAGUACCGUGAGGGAAAGGCGAAAAGAACCCCGGCGAGGGGAGUGAAAAAGAACCUGAAACCGUGUACGUACAAGCAGUGGGAGCCCCACCACUAAGCCAGUGGUGAACUCCACAUACGCAUCCUUUGCUGAAGGCAAUGGUUAACGGAGCGAAAGCGACGUUCAACCGCAAAACAAGCAGAGGGGGCUUAGUGGUGGGGUGACUGCGUACCUUUUGUAUAAUGGGUCAGCGACUUAUAUUCUGUAGCAAGGUUAACCGUAUAGGGGAGCCGGAGGGAAACCGAGUCUUAAUUGGGCGUUAAGUUGCAGGGUAUAGACCCGAAACCCGGUGAUCUAGCCAUGGGCAGGUUGAAGGUUGGGUAACACUAACUGGAGGACCGAACCGACUAAUGUUGAAAAAUUAGCGGAUGACCUGUGGCUGGGGGUGAAAGGCCAAUCAAACCGGGAGAUAGCUGGUUCUCCCCGAAAGCUAUUUAGGUAGCGCCUCGUGAAUUCAUCUCCGGGGGUAGAGCACUGUUUCGGCUAGGGGGCCAUCCCGGCUUACCAACCCGAUGCAAACUGCGAAUACCGGAGAAUGUUAUCACGGGAGACACACGGCGGGUGCUAACGUCCGUCGUGAAGAGGGAAACAACCCAGACCGCCAGCUAAGGUCCCAAAGUCAUGGUUAAGUGGGAAACGAUGUGGGAAGGCCCAGACAGCCAGGAUGUUGGCUUAGAAGCAGCCAUCAUUUAAAGAAAGCGUAAUAGCUCACUGGUCGAGUCGGCCUGCGCGGAAGAUGUAACGGGGCUAAACCAUGCACCGAAGCUGCGGCAGCGAACGUAUCACUUAAAGCGAUUCAGCGGGUUACGAUUGACGGAGCGAAGCGACGUCAAAGCGUAUACAAAGUCGAGUCGGUUUAAGGAUACGUUCGUUGGGUAGGGGAGCGUUCUGUAAGCCUGCGAAGGUGGCCUGUGAGGGUUGCUGGAGGUAUCAGAAGUGCGAAUGCUGACAUAAGUAACGAUAAAGCGGGUGAAAAGCCCGCUCGCCGGAAGACCAAGGGUUCCUGUCCAACGUUAAUCGGGGCAGGGUGAGUCGACCCCUAAGGCGAGGCCGAAAGGCGUAGUCGAUGGGAAACGGGUUAAUAUUCCCGUACUUGGUGUUACUGCGAAGGGGGGACGGAGAAGGCUAUGUUGGCCGGGCGACGGUUGUCCCGGUUUAAGCGUGUAGGCUGGUUUUCCAGGCAAAUCCGGAAAAUCAAGGCUGAGGCGUGACGACGAGGCACUACGGUGCUGAAGCAACAAAUGCCCUGCUUCCAGGAAAAGCCUCUAAGCAUCAGGUAACAC
rnacentral:rRNA from 1 species